GAAGAAGAAGAAGAUGGAUGACGUUAAGCUGGAAAGAAGACGAAUAUGAUAGCUUGCUGUGAGAGACAACGAUCUUUUGUGGUGGAGCAGGACCUGCAAGGAAAGGUGAAAAAAGGGAAAACCUGAAACAAAAGAAUAAUGUAGUCGUGCUCAUGGGGUGCAGGCACACGAAAGUUUGGAGCUCUAGCUUCAAGGUUGUGUGGUUCAGAGAGUCGUCAUCAAGGUCUUCCUCAUCCUGUUGCUCAACGACAUCCCCGUUGAAAAGAGUAAGAUUGUGAAGUGCAGCAGUAGAACUGUAUCCGCUGUGUUCAGAUGGCCGGAGGAUGUUGGGUUCACCAUCUGUAAAUACAUGUUUGUUAGAACAAUAAGUUUGAAUGAAGCUUUGUUUCAUGUGUUGUUGACUUGUACAUGUAUGCAUUUAUUGUGAUGCUAACUUUUAUACAUUUUUUUAAUCAUUUAGACAUGUUUUUUGUUCUCAGUAAAUAAAAUAUAAAUAUUUAAUCAA